rnacentral:rRNA from 1 species
AACACAUGCAAGUCGAGGGGCAGCAUAAAAGUAGCAAUACGUUGGUGGCGACCGGCGCGACGGGUGAGUAACGCGUAUGCAACCUACCCAUCGAGAGGGGAAUAACCCGGCGAAAGUCGGACUAAUACCGCAUAAAACAGGGGCACCGCAUGGUGAUAUUUGUUAAAGAAAUUCGCUGAUAGAUGGGCAUGCGUUCCAUUAGGUAGUUGGUGAGGUAACGGCUCACCAAGCCGACGAUGGAUAGGGGAACUGAGAGGUUGGUCCCCCACACUGGUACUGAGACACGGACCAGACUCCUACGGGAGGCAGCAGUGAGGAAUAUUGGUCAAUGGGCGGGAGCCUGAACCAGCCAAGUCGCGUGAAAGGAAGAAGGAUCUAUGGUUCGUAAACUUCUUUUGCAGGGGAAUAAAGUGCAGGACGUGUCCUGUUUUGUAUGUACCCUGAGAAUAAGGAUCGGCUAACUCCGUGCCAGCAGCGGC